rnacentral:rRNA from 1 species
UACAGAGGUCUCAAGCGUUGUUCGGAUUCAUUGGGCGUAAAGGGUGUGUAGGUGGCGCCGUAAGUCGGGUGUGAAAUUUCGGAGCUUAACUCCGAAACUGCAUUCGAUACUGCGGUGCUUGAGGACUGGAGAGAAGACUGGAAUUCAUGGUGUAGCAGUGAAAUGCGUAGAGAUCAUGAGGAAGACCAGUGGCGAAGGCGGGUCUCUGGACAGUUCCUGACACUGAGACACGAAGGCCAGGGGAGCAAACGGG